rnacentral:tRNA from 1 species
UGGGAUAUAGCUCAGUGGCAAAGCACCUGCCUGGCAAGCAUAAGGUCCUGAGUUUGUUUCCCAGUAUCCAAC